rnacentral:lncRNA from 12 species
GCAUCUCCCGGUCGGUCGGCCCUCGGGCAGGCGAAGCCGUGCCUUGCAGGGCGAGCCACGCGGGGCGCCGGCGGUGCCUCUCCCGCAGCCUCAGCCCGGCCCCCGAGCGAGGAGGAACCGCACGGCCUCGCCUUCCCCGCGCCGGCCGUCCAGACCCAUUUUAAGUAUUAAAAUGUCGCCGUUUGCAACGCAAACGCCUCGGUGUUGCAAAUGAAGCUUAAGAGGGAAAUGACUCAGUCAGCGUCACUGCGCCCUGUCCUCGUGUCACAGACUUUCAAAUCUCCCCAGAAUCAGAACAAAUUCCUCAGCCUUGGAAGCACCCCUUUGUUUGGACUGUCGCACAUAUUGUCAGUGCGCGGCUAUUGAUUCAGCAACUCCAUGGACAAAAGGACCAUUCUGGAUUCGUACACUUGCCUUUAAAUGAAAGUUGUCAAUUAGCCCCUUCAGUUUCAAAGGAGUUUAAGCUGACCAAACAAUCUGACACCUAUUCACUCACACAAAGGAGAACUAAUCAGAAGAAGUAAAUAUUGCAUAUUAAGUCUCCUUGUCUAUGAAAUCCAAAGAGUUGCCAAAAUCUCUGAUACUGUCUAAACUCUUCAUUCCAGGAUCUAAAGUGUGUAUUCAUGCCACCAUUGUCUCAGCUGCAAUUGAACACUGCAAUGACUUUUAAUCUGCUUUCUUUCUUCCCUCUCUUGUUCCUUGACCCUGAACCUGUCAAAAUCACUUACUUCACUGCUCUGAUUGUAUAGUUCAACUCUUUGAAUCUCUCCUCUAAUUCCACUUGGUUUAUUCAUUUCCUAUUCUGUAGUUAUUUCCUUUACU